UUCCGUGCAGACCCUUCAGCUCGCCAUCGCCGCCGCCUCAUAUCCUGCUCUGUUCCCGUGUGGGACCAGAGGGAAACCUCACAGCAGAUGGGGUUUCGCUUAGUCACAUUCUCUGUGGCCAGAUCCAAUUACAUCAACAGCAGCUCUGGCUCAGACACCCACAGUUGCCUGAUGCUCUCCAGGCUGGCCUUUCACCUUCCAAGGUCCGAACUCAUCCCAAGACAGGCUAGGAGAUGAGUUCCUUUGCAACUCCAUCUAUUGAAAGGAAGAAAGCUGAGAAAUAGAAGCAAGUCAAAAGUUGGAAGAUACUUGCUUUACGAUACUGUGUCAGUUUCUGCCAUAUAUCAACAUGAAUCAGUCAUAGGUAUACAUAUGUCUCUUCCCUCCUGAACGUCCCUCCCAGAACUUCUCAUUAACUGUACUUCAAGGCUAUGCCAUCUGCUGACUUGGAAUUUCCCCUAAUGGAUUUGGAGCCUGUGCGUUAUCUCCCUGGAUCCCCUCGGCUCUGUCUUAGGCUGCUGGAACGUUUUGCUGCCACAGCUGUUGGAAACAACCCCUUGAUGUAGCCAGAGACAGUUGCUCAGCAUCUUAACAGCAAGACCAAAAGGGGUGAAAAAAAUGGGAGUCUCGGAUGGUAAGCGACUGACCUCAUUCUGUAGGAAUCCUUUCUGGAAAGGGAGCUGCGGACUGUUGUGACAGGCGGUGAAUCAUUGCUAAAUCCCACAAGUCCACCUUUUGUCCACUGCUUGAUUAUUGGUAUUUAGUGUGUAAAACCUUUCCCCUUCAGUCCAGUGAACAAUGACACCAUGUGAGAUGCCAGAGAGACAAAGAUAAAUCGUCCAUGAUUCCUGAGCUUCAGGAACUUACCAACACCUGGGAGAGCCAGACAUGAGAACAUUUUAUUCUAAUACAUCAUAUAAUCACGAGACAUAGACACCUGGAAGGUGUGGAAGCAGAGAUGAGAGGCACCUACCCAAGCCUGGGAGAACAGAAGUGCCUUCCUGGAGGAUUAAUGGAUUAAAUCAAUUCACAAUUUCACCCAUUCACCAAAUAUUUAUUGGGCACCUCUUCUGUGCCAGGUACUCAUAUUAGCGGAUACAGUACUAAGGCAAAAUACUUCUCUAUCUAGUGGGAGAGAUGAAACACAUAAAUAGUUAUUCAAGUAGCAGUACUGUAAAGAAUAUAACAAGGCAAAGGUCUAAAGAAUGAUAUGGGGUGAGGAUUGAUUUUUUUAUGUAUAUAUGCCUUUUAUUGGAGUAGAGUUACUUUACAACGUUGAGUUAGUUUCUGCUGUACGACAAUGUGAAUUAUGUUCUGAAUUUUAUGCAUGCAUAUGUGAAUUAUAUGUAUACAGACAUCCCCUCCCUCUUAGACCUCCCUCCCACCCCUUCAUCCCACUCAUCUAGGUCAUCACAGAGCAUUGAGCUGAGCUCCCUGUGCUAUCCAGUAGGUUCCCAGUAGGGUUUAUUUUAAAAAGAGUAGUCAGAGAAGGCCUUUUCAGGAGCAUAUCUUUCUAUCAAAGAAGAGAUGGAGAAAAGUCUUGAAAAUACCUUCUAGACAGAGGAAAAACAAGACUGAUGUUUUGAGCCCGGUCCAGUUUGACUUAUUUAAACAAUAGUGAAAGCCAGUGUGGGUAGAGCUGGGUUAGUGAGGGUUACUGUUGAAAGUGAAGGAGAUGGAGAUGUAGGCCAGAACCAGGUCAGGGGCUGUGUGGGUCAGAGCUAAGUGAAUGGCAGUCAGAUGGAGAAGGGCUUUUCCAUCUUUUCCUUCCCAGGGGUCAUCACUGACAAUAUCUCAACAUUAACACACAGAAAGACAGAGCUAACAGCAAAUAAAUCAUUCUGAUGGCCCAUCUUGAGAUGUUCCUACAGGGAUUAAUGUGUCCCUGCCCAUAAGGUCAAAUUCCAUCCAAACAUCUCUCUGGAAAAUGCAGCGCUCAGAAACCCCUGCCCCGGGCAUUCCCACCCACCUCACCAUGCAUCCUGCAUUCAUCAUCUCGCUCUUGUUCUUUGUCAUGUGGCUAAGAUUCCUUGAAGGAGAUGGUCCAACUCCAAGUAAAGCUCUCUCCAUAAAUAUUUAGACUGAAUAGAAGAUGUGCCAGAGAUGCAAAGAAUCUGUCUGGAGGGAGAAGAGACCUUUCUCUUUGUUGUCUCUUCAGUCUUGUAAUUUAAUCCAUGGAUACGUGUCUUUGAAUAAUACAUAAGCAUCAAUUUACCAUGAAGAGUUCCACAGAAACCUUAGCUUCUCAUCCUUCUGCUGUGUACUGCAUAGCAGUUUCUUCUCAUCCUGGAAUAUACAUUCCUCUGGUUUACCUUUAUCACUUUCUUCUCUACUCCCAUGUUUCUGAUCACAUAGUGUGUGUUGGGCUCUGUUAAACGUAUCGUUGCAGAGUCUAUAUUCAGUUCAAUUCAGUCACUCAGUUGUGUCCGACCCUGCAACCCCAUGAACCGCAGCACACCAGGCCUCCCUGUCCGUCACCAACUCCCGGAGUCCACCCAAACCCAUGUCCAUUGAGUCGGUGAUGCCAUCCAACCAUCUUAUCUUAUUCAGCCCCUCCCCUCUUCUCAGAGUCACUUGUCAGUUCAUUUUGUUCAGGCUUCUCCCUCUGCCCCCACUUCCCUGUCUGUUCCCACUGAGGUCAGUUCAGUCUCCAUGUUACUAAACCCAGCGGCCUUCUUUCUUGUUCUUAUUUUGCUAGAACUCAUCACUUACAUGGUGAUGAACAUAGUGUUAACUGGUCCUUGCUGAGGCUCACAUCUCUUUUUGUGUCUGUUUGUGCCACUCUUUUGCUUGGACCCCUCUGACUGGUCCUUCUCUGCCUCUCAAAUUUUUGGCUCCUGGUGGUUGUGUCUUUGGCAGACUUCUUUCUCUCGCUCCAUCCAUCUUUGCCACCAGGCUCUCAACCAUGGCUUCAGCUCUAAGGGCUUCCAACCCUCUAUGCACCCCUGCCCAGACUUGAGAGCUGGUUACCAUCUGUGGGCUUGGAAUGCUGAGCCUAGCCGACUAACACUCGCAGCUGGUAAACGGGCUGUAACGUGACCCCGAUGAAUCUGCCUUGUUCUGUUCCAGGGCUGGGACUCUUCCAGCUCCAGCUAGUUUCCUGAAUGAACUUGAGUAAGUGCCUUCCCCUCUCUAGGCUUCAGUGGCCUUAAGUGUAGAAUGAGUGAGCUGAACCCCUUCAAAUCUCCUUCAGCUCUACAUGGGCAUGGCAUCUGGCCAUAAGGAAACAGAAAUAACUGUUGUGGUUAUAAGGGACCCAAUAAAUGAUACUCCACCCUUCUCCCCAAAUUCAGGACCAACAGCAUAACAGAAAUUAAAGCCAUAUUUAAACAAGAGAAUUCAAAUGUCAGCUUCAUCAGAUACAAGGAGACCCAUCUACUGGGUCCUCUUUCAGUUCAGUUCAGUUGCUCAGUCAUGUCCGACUUUUUGCGACCACAUGAAUUGCAGCAUGCCGGGCCUUCCUGUCCAUCACCAACUCCCAGAGUUCAG